ensembl:lincRNA F730035M05Rik RIKEN cDNA F730035M05 gene
CUCGGUGUGGAAGGAGGCCUCGGCUGGCUCGCUUGUUGAGUUCCCAGUAAAGCCAUUGCCUCUUCUCAGUGGGUUCCACGGUUGCUUCCCAGGGUGACAUUGUAGGGUCAGUGUGAUUUAACCCUGAUUGCCCCGGUCUUGCUUCCCAGUUUUUAGGCAUAGUACUAUCCUGGGUUCUAAGGGGGCCUUGGUUGGUUGGUUUAUUUAUUUUUUUUCUGAGGACGCAGGACUGGGGUUUCUUGACUCCUAGGCCCAGGCUGGACUAACCCACAGUAGUUGGCCACAGUUGGUGUAAAAGUCAAGGGGUCUGUUGAGAAAGCUUUAGUCUCAGUGGGGGACAAGACUUCGUUCGAUUUGAGACCCCUUGUUUGCACUGCUCUUUGACCAAAUGAGGCAUAAGGAUAAGAGGGCGUGGGGGAAGGGGAGGGAGGGAGAAGGAGAGAGCACUCCAGGAACCAGUUGUCCCGUGUUCAGGAGACAUACUGGUGUGUGAUCUUUAUACCAGAUCCGAAUGUGAUGGUGUUUAAACUUUGGAAAGAUUGGCCUUUUGACCUGCUUUUAAUCAGUUCUGAAGCCAAGGGAACUGGCCCAAAGUGGCCUCACAUAUGGGUCACAUGGCCUGUGGAGAAGGACAAUGUCAUAUUAGAGCGGCUCUUUAUGCUCAGAGAGCAGAAGAGCUAUGCUUGCAGGAGUGUGUGUGUGUGUGUGUGUGUGUGUGUGUGUGUGUGUUUAUUUUCUGUAAGGAAGUCAUGAGCUUCCCAGGUUGGAAUUGCAAGUUAAUCUGUGGAGCCCAGCAUCUGGAGAGGACGGGNNNNNNNNNNNNNNNNNNNNNNNNNNNNNNNNNNNNNNNNNNNNNNUGAACCUGACCUUUGUGAAAGCAAACUGCCCCUGGAACCCACACCUUGACUUGAUCUUUGCACUCAAUCAAUUGCACACAGGAGACUCCUGGCUAGUGAUGGAGCUCAGUGAUCGAGCAUGUGCCUAGCAUGUGCAAGCCUGGUGAUGGAGCUCAGUGAUCGAGCAUGUGCCAAGCAUGUGCGAGCCUGGAGAUCCACCCCUCGACACAAGGAAGAAACCAAAACAACAACAAUUAGAAUCAAGAAGCAGAGAGACUCCCUAAGACCCAGUAUUGCUCCAUGGAGGAAGCAAAUCUAAAGACUUGAAAAGCCCAGAUUCAUAAAAGCCAAGUAUUUUAAUC